ACGCGAAAGGGGGCUUCGGCCCCCGAGUAGAGUGGCGCACGGGUGAGUAACACGUGAGUAAUCUGCCCACGGGUGGGGGAUAACAGCCGGAAACGGCUGCUAAUACCGCAUAACGCAGCGGCACCGCAUGGUGACAGUUGUUAAAGCGGGGGAACUCUUUCGGGAGUCCUCGCGCCUGUGGAGGAGCUCGCGGCGGAUUAGCUUGUUGGUAGGGUAACGGCCUACCAAGGCUUCGAUCCGUAGCCGGCCUGAGAGGGCGGCCGGCCACACUGACACUGACACACGGGUCAGACUCCUACGGGAGGCAGCAGUCGGGAAUUUUGGGCAAUGGGCGCAAGCCUGACCCAGCAACGCCGCGUGAAGGAUGAAGUUUUUCGGAAUGUAAACUUCAUAAGACGGGGAAGAAUAAGUGGGGGCUAAGACCCCCCAUGAUGACGGUACCCGUUGUAAGCCCCGGCUAACUCCGUGCCAGCAGCCGCGGUAAUACGGGGGGGGCAAGCGUUGUUCGGAUUUACUGGGCGUAAAGGGCGCGUAGGCGGCCCGUCAAGUCACUUGUGAAAUCUCCGGGCUUAACCCGGAGCGGUCAAGUGAUACUGAAGGGCUGGAGUGCGGAAGGGGCCACCGGAAUUCUCGGUGUAGCGGUGAAAUGCGUAGAUAUCGAGAGGAACACCUGCGGCGAAGGCGGGUGGCUGGGCCGACACUGACGCUGAGGCGCGAAAGCCAGGGGAGCGAACGGGAUUAGAUACCCCGGUAGUCCUGGCC
rnacentral:rRNA from 1 species